rnacentral:rRNA from 1 species
AAGUCGUAACAAGGUUUCCGUAGGUGAACCUGCGGAAGGAUCAUUAAAAAUACCAAAUAUUUUUAUACACCUUCAAAUUUUAUUGAUACUAUUCUUUACUUCAUUCGAAAUAAAAAUAAAUAAUCUAAAUAUAACUUUUAACAAUGGAUCUCUUGGCUCUCGCAUCGAUGAAGAACGCAGCGAAAUGCGAUAAGUAAUGUGAAUUGCAGAAUUCAGUGAAUCAUCGAAUCUUUGAACGCAUAUUGCGCUCCUCGGUAUCCCGGGGAGCAUGCCUGUUUGAGCAACGUAACAACAGCCCCAUCAAAGAAGGGGCGUGGUGCAUGGAAAACCAAUAGGAAUUCUAUAAGUCCCGUCGUUGUCUGUUCAAUAUCUUGAGGAAUCUCCUUUUUAGUAGAGUUUCUUAAAAAAGUCGGAUUGGCAGGGUGGUCGUAAUGGCGUGGAGCAUUUUUUAAUUGUACUAGCACUACAUUUUUUAUCUUCUCUAUCGCAUAUUACUGUCUCCUGUUUACUUCCUCUUUAGUUAUGAAGUCCGCUGCAAUUUUUUUUUGCGUGCGGCUUCUAACAAACAUGUUCUCAAAUCAGGUAGGAAUACCCGCUGAACUUAAGCAUAUUAAUAGGCGGAGGAAAAGAAACUAACAAGGAUUCCCCUAGUAACGGCGAGUGAAGCGGGAAGAGCUCAAUAUUAAAAUCGGGUGGUUUUUACUAUUCCGAGUUGUAUCUAUGGGUCAAAUCUUUGUUCUCAGUAUCGGUAUAAAUCCUUUGGAACAGGGUAUCAUAGAGGGUGAAAAUCCCGUCUUUGACUGAUAACGCUGAAGUAACAGGUAGAGAUCUGACCUUCGAGUCGCAUUGUUUGGGAAUGCAGUGCAAAUCGGGUGGUAAAUUUCAUCCAAAGCUAAAUAAUGGCGAGAGACCGAUAGCGAACAAGUACCGUGAGGGAAAGAUGAAAAGAACUUUGAAAAGAGAGUUAAACAGUACGUGAAAUUGUUAAAAGGGAAACGCAUGGAAUUAGUAAUCUCUUCAACAAAUCAGCUGAUGGACCUUCGACUUGCAUGAUGCCCAUCUGAAAAGAUGAUGUUAUGCGUGAACGAAGGUUAGCAGGUGCACUUUGUUGUUGGGAGGUCAACAUCAGUUCGGAUCGAUGGACAAACGUUUGGCGGAAUGUGGCCGCUUUUGCGGUGUUAUAGCCGCCAAUUGCACUCAUCGAUUUGGACUGAGGAACGCAGCGUAUAAUUGGGGAAUAAUCUUUGUGACCCUGUUGCACCACGGCUGGCCAAAAUUUUUGACUGCAUGUGGUGUGGACUACGUGAAUUGGAUUAUUUCACCAUAAGCGCUUAGGAUGUUGACGAGAUGAUUCUAUACGACC